AGCAAAGUGAGUUAUAUAACCCCUUUUUAAACAAAUAGACAUAUUGGACUAUGCUUCAGAGUAACAUCUCAUCCAGUCAUUGGCCUAUGCUGACCUUUUCCUUCUCAUCUAGACCAAUUUCUUCUAUACCAGAUCUGAAAGCUGGACCUCUUCCACAUCUUUCAGAAUACUGACUUCAGUUCCUGUUAACACACUUAUCUUUAGACAUCAUGGGACCCAGUCCAGUUGAAAGGUGUGCUUCUGACUUUCUAUAUUUUUCUGGACACCAUAUCUAAGCUUCAGUCUUACUUUGGAACCUUCUUCAGAGAUUGGAGCCUUUUCAUCCUGGAAUAUUCAAUCAUUUCUGUGGUUUCCUCACAGUGGAAUAUCAUCCCGUCAUGUUGGCCCCCUUCACCCUUUGAGUUCUUCCCAAAGGCCCAGUUGCACAAUUAUUAUUGGCUUGCAGCUGUUUUAGGAAGAUGGGUUGAAAGAGCACCCAACUGGAAAGUGGAAGACCUUUGGUUCUUUUCCCAGCACUGUCAUCAAGUAGCUGUGUGACCACUGGCAAAUUAUAGAAUCUUUCUGGGCCUCAGUUUUCUACAAUAAAAUGAGAGGGAGGGUCGGCAAGAUUAGCAUCUCAAUAAAAGUACAUCCAACUAUUUGGCAAGCAGAUCAAGAAUCUAUCUCUCCAAGAUAAGUAUUAACUCAUUCAGAUUUUACUCAUAGUUUCUCAUCUUACUUCUGCAGAUCAUCCUAGUUAUCCUCAGAUCCUCUGAAGGCUCAUAACUCCACUGUACAACUUAUUCCCUGUGACUUCUCACAGUUUCUAUCCUGCUUUUCCCUACCAAAAAUAUCUUCAGACCUUGACUCAACUUAAGACUACUUUUCUCAGAAUUCUCUAACUACCAAUAGUCUGUAUCCAGUAAUAACUAAUAAUCACUGACCAUAGGCUAACUUACCUGGAACAGGUCUUGCAUUAGUUUUGUGGGAUCCUGGGUACCAAAUUGAUAUCACUUCUUUAUUCAACACUGAUUCUAUAUGCUUCAUCCAAAUCCUCUAGUAGUCAUCUGAUGCUUUGUCUGAUUCCUUUGGAUCACCAUUUUUUUCCCUUUUAGGAGUAUGUGUUUGCUACUGCAACCAUCCUCAAGAAUUGUAAUAAAUAGGACUAUGAAAACUCAAUUGGGUGGGAAGUAGUGGAGACCGUGGUUGAGUUAGUGUGAGGAAGAUCCAAGUUUAAAUCCUGCUUUAGAUAGUUAUUAGCUGUGUGCCCCUGAGCAAGUCACAACCUCUCUGUCUUCAUCUGUAAAAUGAGGUAAUAAUAGCACU